UUGCCACCCACCCUUUGUCCGAAUCCGACUAAAGAGUAAAGAAGGGUUGGGUGGGUCGUUAAUGGAACCAAUUGGAGCUCGAAAUCAAUGAGACAACUCACAAGAACAUGUUUCUUUCUCUUAAACGUUUGACGGUUUGUUCCCGCCACAAGAGCGCGCUCUUGAUAUUCAAUGCUCUACACACCACCAGUUUGGAUCCCAUGCUCAAAUCUCCACCACAAGAAUCCAUCCAACUCCUCCUAGACAAAUGCUCAACCACGACAGAACUCAAGCAAAUCCAUGCCCGGAUCAUCCUCGGCGGACUCAGCGAAGAAGCCCUCACUCUUGGCAAGUUAAUUGCUUUCUGUGCUGUUGCCGACUCUGGCGACCUCCGAUAUGGGCAGGCCGUGUUUGAUCAAAUAGCUGAACCCAAUCGGUUCAUGUUUAAUAGUUUGAUAAGAGGCUAUUCAGGUAGUGAUGACCCAUCAGAGGCUAUUUCACUCUACCGCAAAAUGGUUGGUUCCGGCAUUUCUCCGAAUGAAUUCACUCUCCCUUUUGUUCUCAAGGCGUGUGCAUGCGAGUCGGCAUAUUGGGAAGCUGUGCUUGUUCACGGACAGGCAAUUAAACUGGGUAUCGGGUCCCAAGUUUGUAUCCUGAACGCACUUAUCAGUGUUUAUAUUGGUUGUGGGUUGACCUCUGGUGCCCGUAAAGUGUUUGACGAUAUUAGUGACAGAACUUUGGUGUCGUGGAAUUCAAUGAUUGGUGGGUACUCUAAACUGGGUUGUCUGAAGGAAGCAUUUUUGCUCUUUCAAGAAAUGAGACAACUAGGAAUAGAGCCUGAUGGUUUUACGUUUGUAAGUCUCCUUUCUGUUUCUUCACAAACUCGUGAUUUGGAUUUUGGACGAUACGUACACCUGUAUAUUGAGAUUACGGGGACACCAACUGAUAUAUAUGUGCAGAAUGCCCUUGUGGAUAUGUAUGCUAAGUCUGGGGAUCUGCAUACAGCUCAAGAACUUUUUGAUCAAAUACAUAAUAAAAAUGUGGUGACUUGGACGUCAAUGAUCAGUGCAUAUGCUAAUCAUGGGCUGAUUGAAUGUGCUGAGAAGAUCUUUGACCAAAUGCCGAUGAAAAAUCUGGUUUCUUGGAAUUCCAUGAUUUCAUGUUAUGUCCGAGAAGGUCACUGCCGGAAAGCUCAGGAUCUCUUCUACAAAAUGUGUCAUAAAAAGGUAGUUCCUGAUGAAAAUACUCUAAUUAUUUUGCUUUCAGCCUGUUCUCAACUAGGUGAUUUUGUUAUGGGAAAGAAAACUCACAACUAUAUCUGCAGAAACAAUCUGUUACCAAGUGUUUCAUUAUGUAAUGCUCUAAUGGAUAUGUAUGCAAAAUGUGGCGCUAUAGGAAUUGCUUUAGACAUCUUUGAACAGAUGUCAUCAGAAAAGAGCACUGUGUCAUGGAAUGUGAUCGUUGGGGCCCUUGCAUUGCAUGGGUAUGGAUAUAAAGCAAUUGAGGUCUUUGAAAAGAUGCAAGUUGACGGAAUAAGUCCUGAUGGAAUCACCUUCACAGGGUUGCUUUCUGCAUGUAGUCACUGUGGACUUGUAGACAAGGGGCAAUAUUACUUUGACAGUAUGACCCGUAUAUAUGGAGUGCAGCAUGAAAUUGAGCACUAUGCCUGCAUGGUGGAUCUUCUUGGCCGAGUAGGCCUAUUGGAAAAGGCAAUUAAGCUGAUAGGAGGGAUGCCUAUUAAGCCUGAUGUUGUGGUUUGGGGUGCUCUGCUUGGUGCAUGCAGGAUUUGUGGUUAUACUGGAAUUGGAAAGCUAAUUCUAAAACAGCUGUUAGAGCUGCAGCCAUAUAGUGGAGGCCUUUAUGUGCUUCUCUCGAAUAUCUAUUGUGAAGCUCAAAGAUGGGAAGAUGUAGACAAAAUAAGGAAACUAAUGAAAGACCGUGGAAUUGAAAAGUGUAUUGCCAUUAGCUCUAUUGAAAUUGAUGGAUGUAUUCAUGAAUUCAUGGUUGAUGACAAGAGAUAUGAAGGUUCAGAUGGUAUCUUUGUCAUUCUUGAGCAAUUAGCGGAUCAUCUUAAGUUAGUAGGGUGUUUAAGUGCAAUUUUGGAUGAAGAGGAAAUAUAGUACUCAGCCAGGGAAAGGUUUAUCUCUAGGUUUAUCUGUAUCACAACGAUAGUGGGAAUGAAAUAUUGGCAAGCAACCCCAGGUAAACCUUUUCAAUGGAACCAUGUGGGGUUUUAGAAGUGCCAGAUAAGGAUGCGGCAUCAUGGAACGUUAGGAUGUGUGGCAUCAGGAAGUUAAGCAUGAAGAUGCAACCAUUGUUGGCUAUAUGGUCUGGCUUCAUGGACCCAGUUUCAAAAGUCUUGUGCACAGUAUUCGCUAUCCAAUGCCAUUCAAGUUCUAGAUGCAUUGGAUGCUUGCACUGUUGUCGUGUUGGAAGCUGAAAGCAGUACUAAAUGAGCUACAGGAGUUGGUAGCAUCUGCUGGAGCCCUUUCUGUCCAACUAAAUUUAUAUGUGAAACAAAUGGAAGUCUAGUUCAGAAGAGAUUUACAAAUAGAGCCAACAUAGUACUAAAAGAUGUUUCCAGUCCUUUCUCUCAAUGCAGACAUCUAAUUAAGGAAUGGCAUACCCUAGAACAGCUGAGGAAAAAGGAGUAUUGUGUAGUUUCACCACUAAACCUACCUGCUGUUGAGUCAAUGACAUGGAAAUCAGCAGACCAAGACAAUGCACCAUUAGUUAAUGGCCUUGCAAGAAGCAGAGUUCCGUAAUUCAUCACAUUGUAGCUACUUCUGUAAGGGCUGCAAUGGGGAUACCUUCUGUGAAAGCUACAUUGAAAAGGAUAAAUUGCAUCAAGGCCACCAAAUACCAAAUGCCAAAUUCCCUCCUCCCAUUAGAAACCUCUACUUUCUCCUCAUUUCAUUAUUCUUUAUUUUUUCCAGCUAGUAAUCAUUAUUAGUGUUAAAAACUAAUCCCAAUUUGGUAGUUUUUUAGUAGAUCCAAGAUAAGAUGAGUUCGGAAAAGAAGGGAAACUCCGUACGUUCCCCUCGCUAUUAGAUUAUCUGUGUUCAUAUUCUUUACCUUAGCCAAGCUCUGAGAAGAAUAAGACCAAAUAUCUUGUCUGCAAAAUUUUUGUUCACAAGUGGAGACCAUAUUGUUCUUGAAUACCAAUUUAUAUGCAAGUGGAAACCAUUGUAAUAUUGAGCAGAAUUUGAAUGAGAUUCUCAUUGAACCGUAUUAUCCCUACAUCCCAAGUGAUUUGCCUGUACAUGAUAUUGUUUUGCCGGUUGGUGCUGGGCUAUGUUUGCUUUGCUGUAUAUGCUUAUAUCAAAAUCUAUCCAACCAAACAGAGAAACUUCCCUGGAAAAAUGGUGGUGGUUCAGAUUUUCCAACAACUCUCUGAAUCUAACGAUUAAGUGCAG